UAGCUCUAGGAGUUGAUCAUGGUUAGUGAAGGGGCUGUUAUACUUAUCGCGCAAGGUAAGGUCAAGGUGAGAUUCUGGCUUUUAGGUAAAGUAUUCGAUAAGUAUGUAAGAUUAAUCUUUGAGUGAUAUCGAUUGUAGGUUUGGGCUAAGGAAAUCGCAGCAUGCUUGCCUACUAGGUGUGUACAUACACUGCACAUACACAAUGAAUCGGCAAAAGCUGAAAUACUGAAAAGCCGAAAGUUGGGCUACGGUAGUCACACG
rnacentral:lncRNA from 1 species